GCGUGUGUAGCUCAGUAGGUUAGAGCACCUGCCUUUUAAGCAGGGAGUCGCGAGUUCAAAUCUCGCCACACGCA
rnacentral:tRNA from 1 species